rnacentral:rRNA from 1 species
AGGAAAAGAAACCAACCGGGAUUGCCUCAGUAACGGCGAGCGAAGCGGCAAGAGCUCAAAUUUGAAAUCGGACUCCUGCGGAGUUCGAGUUGUAAUUUGUAGAGGUACUUCUGGAAGCCUCCUCAGCAUAUGUUCCUUGGAACAGGACGUCAUAGAGGGUGAGAACCCCGUUCAUGGUUGAGGUUUUGGUGGACAUGUAGAAUGCCUUCGACGAGUCGAGUUGUUUGGGAAUGCAGCUCAAAGUGGGUGGUAAGAGCCAUCUAAAGCUAAAUAUUGGCGAGAGACCGAUAGCGAACAAGUACUGUGAAGGAAAGAUGAAAAGAACUUUGAAAAGAGAGUGAAAUAGUGCGUGAAAUUGCUGAGGGGGAAGCGUUUGAAACCAGACAUGGCCGUAGUGAUCAGCUGUGCUUCGGUGCGGUGCACUUGCUGCGGCUGGGCCAACAUCAGUUGUUGCGGCAGGAUAAUUGCCUGCGAAUGUGGCUCCCCUUCGGGGGAGUGUUAUAGCAAAGGUGGAUACUGCCAGCGGCGACUGAGGACCGCGCCCUUUGUGGCUAGGAUGUUGGCGUAAUGGUUUUAAACGGCCC